rnacentral:lncRNA from 1 species
AGAGCGGCCUGGACUCGCCAGGGAGACCAGGGACGCGACGCCAGAGCCCCGCACGACACGGGGAUCGGGGCGCACGGCGGGCAGAGCAGAGGAAUUAUUCAAGGCUGGUUUCGGUUCUCUUCUGGCGACGACCGCAUCUUCGUACUCAAGGCACAGAUUACGGGUCAGCUCAAUUCGCCAGCGGCCGGAGGCUGCCUCCAAGCACCGAGCAGGACGGGAGGGAUGCUCUGCAAGCCGCGUCCGGCUGGAGGCGGCGGAGGCCUGAACGGGUCAUGGUCCCCGAAGUCACUAGGGACAGGGGACGUGGAUGGAAUAUAAGAGGGGAGAUCGACAGUCAAUCCCACCUCUGUCCCUUUCCGCCUGUGACCCCGGUCAGCUCAGUCUUCUCAUCUGUGACAUGGGCGUUGACACGAGUGUUCAGCAUGGGAACCCACCCCCGUCGUCUUCCACUGGUGCUGUCACCCGCGGCCUGGCUGAGCCGGGCACAGUGGGAGCCUCUGCAGGGCCCAGGGAAGGGGCAUGGCGGUGCCGAAGGACACGAGAAAUGGAAAGAGAGGGUUCAGCCACUCUGGCCUCCCAGGGGCGGCGAUGUGAGAACACGGCCCCAAGAUCCUUUGACGCUCCUCCUGUGGAAAGGUGGGGUUCCCGUUCCCUCCCCUUGAUGCUGGCCUCCAUGGCAGAAGGUGACGGAGUCGACAGUCCUCCCAGAACUGCCAGCUCCUGCUUUUUGCCUCUUGGGUGCUCCCUCUUGGAACCCAGCCGCCAUGCUGCGAGGAAGCCCAGAGGUCCCGAGGACAGGCCCGCGUGGAAGGCCCGGUUGUGCGUGUGUGUGUGUGUGUGUGAGCUCCUCAGAAAAGGGCAUCCAGCCCCAGUAGGUGCCCCAGCAGACGCCACGUGGAGCGGGGGUGAGCUGACCCUGCCAAGAUCGGCCCAAAUUGCAGAUUCACA